rnacentral:ribozyme from 14 species
UACUUUCACGAUUGGGAUGUAAGAAUGAAUAAGAAGAAUGCAAUGAGGGUUCCUCAUAAUUAAAUUCUGUUUCUUCCUUUUCUGUAUCUUCUUGUGUUCCUCCUCCUGCCUUCUUCUUUUUCUU